CUCCUCGUAGUUCAACGGAUAGAACGCGAGCUUGCGGAGCUCGUAAUGUAGGUUCGAUUCCUGCCGAGGAGG
rnacentral:tRNA from 1 species